rnacentral:rRNA from 1 species
GAUGAACGCUGGCGGCGUGCCUAAUACAUGCAAGUCGAGCGAACAGACGAGGAGCUUGCUCCUUUGACGUUAGCGGCGGACGGGUGAGUAACACGUGGAUAACCUACCUAUAAGACUGGGAUAACUUCGGGAAACCGGAGCUAAUACCGGAUAACAUGUUGAACCGCAUGGUUCAACAGUGAAAGACGGUCUUGCUGUCACUUAUAGAUGGAUCCGCGCCGCAUUAGCUAGUUGGUAAGGUAACGGCUUACCAAGGCAACGAUGCGUAGCCGACCUGAGAGGGUGAUCGGCCACACUGGAACUGAGACACGGUCCAGACUCCUACGGGAGGCAGCAGUAGGGAAUCUUCCGCAAUGGGCGAAAGCCUGACGGAGCAACGCCGCGUGAGUGAAGAAGGUCUUCGGAUCGUAAAACUCUGUUAUUAGGGAAGAACAAAUGUGUAAGUAACUAUGCACGUUUUGACGGUACCUAAUCAGAAAGCCACGGCUAACUACGUG